GAUGAACGCUGGCGGCGUGCCUAAUACAUGCAAGUCGAGCGAACGGACGAGAAGCUUGCUUUUCUGAUGUUAGCGGCGGACGGGUGAGUAACACGUGGAUAACCUACCUAUAAGACUGGGAUAACUUCGGGAAACCGGAGCUAAUACCGGAUAAUAUUUUGAACCGCAUGGUUCAAAAGUGAAAGACGGUCUUGCUGUCACUUAUAGAUGGAUCCGCGCUGCAUUAGCUAGUUGGUAAGGUAACGGCUUACCAAGGCAACGAUGCAUAGCCGACCUGAGAGGGUGAUCGGCCACACUGGAACUGAGACACGGUCCAGACUCCUACGGGAGGCAGCAGUAGGGAAUCUUCCGCAAUGGGCGAAAGCCUGACGGAGCAACGCCGCGUGAGUGAUGAAGGUCUUCGGAUCGUAAAACUCUGUUAUUAGGGAAGAAAAUAUGUGUAAGUAACUGUGCACAUCUUGACGGUACCUAAUCAGAAAGCCACGGCUAACUACGUG
rnacentral:rRNA from 1 species